ACGAACGCUGGCGGCAGGCUUAACACAUGCAAGUCGAGCGCAUCCUUCGGGGUGAGCGGCAGACGGGUGAGUAACGCGUGGGAAUCUACCUUUUGCUACGGAAUAGCUCCGGGAAACUGGAAUUAAUACCGUAUGUGCCCUUAGGGGGAAAGAUUUAUCGGCAAGAGAUGAGCCCGCGUUGGAUUAGCUAGUUGGUGGGGUAAAGGCCUACCAAGGCGACGAUCCAUAGCUGGUCUGAGAGGAUGAUCAGCCACAUUGGGACUGAGACACGGCCCAAACUCCUACGGGAGGCAGCAGUGGGGAAUAUUGGACAAUGGGCGCAAGCCUGAUCCAGCCAUGCCGCGUGAGUGAUGAAGGCCUUAGGGUUGUAAAGCUCUUUCACCGGAGAAGAUAAUGACGGUAUCCGGAGAAGAAGCCCCGGCUAACUUCGUG
rnacentral:rRNA from 1 species